rnacentral:rRNA from 1 species
UACGUAGGGGGCAAGCGUUGUCCGGAAUCAUUGGGCGUAAAGCGCGCGUAGGUGGCCAUGUAAGUCCGCUGUGAAAGUCAAAGGCUCAACCUUUGAAAGCCGGUGGAUACUGCAUGGCUAGAGUACGGAAGAGGCGAGUGGAAUUCCUGGUGUAGCGGUGGAAUGCGCAGAUAUCAGGAGGAACACCAAUAGCGAAGGCAGCUCGCUGGGACGUUACUGACACUGAGGCGCGAAAGCGUGGGGAGCGAACAGG